rnacentral:sRNA from 1 species
GUCGUACUCAGUACAAGAGCGUGCAUACGUUAUCGAGUUCAUCAUUUCCUUUCUUUGUUUGAUAUUAGAUGGUUCUAAUUUAUCAAAGUUCCAUGACAGAGAGUAUGCUCUACUUGGAGAUCAUAUCAAAGCAUGAUCAUGUAACUUUUUAACAGUGACCAAAUGCAUCAGUAGCGGGAAUGCGCAUGAUGCUUCAGACCGAAGUAUGGGACACUGAGAAAGACCAAAGAAAAGUUAAGGCAAUAACUGAUCUUGGAAGGUAUUGUACCUGGAUAAAAUGAAGCUUGCCGUAGCAAGAAUUUUCAUGAAAAGAACUGUGAAGGAAGUGAAAGAAAAAUCAGUCAGUGAAUGACACAUCCCCAGUCCCUUCAAAACCGUGGGGACUAUUUACCUCCAAUGCAGGCUGUGUUGAAAGGAAGGGAGCAUAAUUAUGUUGCAUAUUGUAUUAAAAUUUCAAGUAGUACAUGUACUAAUUGAUAUAUAGAUAGCAUUUCAAUGUCCACGAGAGAAGAAAUACAUGGCUGGAGGUAGAGAUAAGGAAAUGACCAACAGAUAUGAGCCAAAUACAUGUGAAGCAACAUCUGACAGAAAAGUGGCAAGACAGGCAUCUGUGUGGAAAGAAACUCUUAGUAAGCUUGGACAGGAAGUUGGUCGUUUUUCCUAAGAUCGUGUAAACGUAAAACGCAUUAUAAGUGCCGAAGCAGUUGUGCAAUAGUGCUUAUUUUCGUUAACUCUUUACUCUGAAAGAUUCUGCUUUGUUUGAUUAUAAAAUGAUAAGGUAAAACACACUGUAGAAUCAAAAAUAAAAAUGGUCAUUUAUAAAGGUAAUGCUCUAGGCCAUACGGAUAGGAAAAUCCAGUGUAUUUUGCAUGCAUAUAUUCAAACAUGUAACAUUGCCAAUUUCAAUUUUUUCAAUGCAGAUUCCUUGCGAACGGUUUUUAAAAUUUUCGAUUAUAUACGGUAUUAUCUGAUUUAAGGUGUGCAUACUCUAGUGCGAUGUUAUAGACCUACUAUACGUUGGUUUCGUAUUUUACUGUAACAUUGUGUACUAUUUCAAGCUGCGUCUGGCAGAACGAAUGGACUUGCUACGUAAGUCUCUACGUUGUAUUAAUUUUUUUAUCACUUCAUCAAAAUUCCACUGUAUUUCAGAAAUCUGAAUUUCUGCUCUCUACUAUACAUGUACUUAAAGUAUUCAAUCAUUAAAAAUAUUAGAGAGAGCACUGGUUAUUAAACAUAGAAACCUGAGAAAGUUUUAGAGAGGCUAUUGUUUUGUGAGGUUUUGUCCGUUGAUAGAAAAAUAGUUCCUCAAACUGUCCAUUCUGUGAGAAAAAGAACUGAUCGAGGGCCGAUAUUAGUUCUUUCUCUCACAGAAUGGACAGUUUGAGGCUAAUAUCCAACUUAAAACAUUACUUUCUUUGGUUUAAGAAUGGAUAGUAUCAGGUAGACCAGUUGACAAUGCUGAUAAAUAUAUAAUUUUAACUUGGAACAAUAAAACCAAUCUUGCAUAG